AUGUGGUUUAAUUCGAUGAUACGCGAGGAACCUUACCUGGGCUCGAACGUAAGAUGACUGUAGGUGAAAGCUUACAUCUCUUCGGAGCAUUUUACGAGGUGCUGCAUGGUUGUCGUCAGCUCGUGCCGUGAGGUGUCGGUUAAGUCCCAUAACGAGCGCAACCCUACCUUUAGUUGCCAUCAGGUAAUGCUGGGGACUCUAAAGGAACUGCCUACGCAAGUAGUGAGGAAGGCGGGGAUGACGUCAAAUCAGCACGGCCCUUACGUCCAGGGCUACACACGUGCUACAAUGGCCGAUACAGAGGGCAGCUACCUGGUGACAGGAUGCAAAUCUCCAAAGUCGGUCUCAGUUCGGAUCGGAGUCUGCAACCCGACUCCGUGAAGUUGGAUUCGCUAGUAAUCGCGCAUCAGCCAUGGCGCGGUGAAUACGUUCCCGGGCCUU
rnacentral:rRNA from 1 species